CUCAGGAGGCGGCCGCCUUCGUACACACAGGAAAAAGAAAAAACAAAACUAAUUGGGUUUUCCAUUAUUAUAAUGUAUGAAUUUUAGCAAUUGGACACCAUGGCAGACCUUGUUCUGGCUUUAACUGGACCGCCCACCUUUUAAUAAAAGGGAAAGGCCUCUCGAAUGUGAGCCAUCCAACCAAAUGGACAAAGCUUGUCUUCUGCUCGUGUGCAUGAAUCGCUGCUUUGUCUGCUGUAACAGUCUCGAGGUUUGUGCUUCUGACUAGAAUAAAGCUGUCAAGUCAGAGUCACAACCUCCAUUCAGCCUCUAUCAAAGAAAAAUCCAAAAAAAAAAAAAAAAAAAAAGAAAGAAAAUUAUGAAAAGAUUGUCAUU